ensembl:snRNA U6 U6 spliceosomal RNA
AAACUCACUUUGACAGCUCGUAUACUAAAACUGGAAUGAUACAGAGAGAUUAGCCUGGCCCCUGCACAAGGAUAACACCUAAAUUCGUGAAGCGUUCCAUAUUUUA